UGCUCCAGGCCCCACCCACCUCCCACGGGGCCGCUCAGGCCCGGCUUCCGUCCUGCGCAGAUUCGCGCAAACCCAGAAACCGAUGGCGCAGAGUGAAGCUCCCGCCGCUGCACGAUUGACUUCUAAAGACCCUUGAUACAUGAGGAAGAAACCCGGAAGGGGAAGAGAGAAGCCAAGGAGCCAGGGAUGGCUCUUCCUCAGGCAAGGUCUCUCCGCCUCGGGCCUCGCGCCCACUUCGCCAGGACCCCGCCCACCUCCACGUGGGUUCCGCCCACCUCCACGUGAACCCCGCCCACGUCACGUGGGUCCCGCCCAGGCCUGGCUUCCGUCCUGCGCGCGCAGACUCUUACAAACCGGAAGCGGAUCGCGUGAAGGGGAGGUCACGCCGCAGCUCGAUUGACUUCUAAAGACUCUUGAUACGUGAGGACGAAACCCGGAAGAGGAAGAAGGAAGCAAAGGAGCCAGGGAUGGCUCUUCCUCAGGUGAGAUGAUCUUCUCCAUCUAUUGUUCUGUCUCCUUCCUUUCAGAAAUGCUGGGCCUUGGAGUUGGGAAUCUUCUCUGAGUCUGAAGCGUCCUGCCUGACAGGUUUGCUGGCACUCACCCAUGCCUUCCCUCAGUCCCUCUCAUCUCACUUAGAUUCCAUCUCUGGUGACCCAGUGACAUGAGCUUGGGAAGAGGCUGCACUGGGCAUGGUCCUGGGAAGGGCUCACCUCAGAUGUGGAUGGAGAUGGGGUGUGGGCCCCGUGGUGUCAGGGCUGCUGGGCAGCAGGGAUUGUUCAGGGGCCACAUCGGGAUGCUCCAUCAGCUCUCUGUAGACCAGGAGUAGAGCAGCUGCCCAUGGAAGUUACGUAUUAAUGUGCACAAAGGACGUGGUAAAUUUUCUGAAAGGUGACCAGUAAGGGGAAAUCUUUUCUGCCUGAUUUUAUGCUACAUGUUUAGGUAAUUAAGUGAAUUGUUAGGUUUCUGACUCCAAAAAUCUUACUCAAAAUGGAAAGUUCAGACAUGAAUGAUACAAGGUGUUUUAUCCCAUCAUUCUUUUAAGCAUAUGAAACCAACGUAAAUAAUAGCAGGAGAUUCAUUAAACCAUUCUUAGUGCAUUAAGCUCAUGGAGACCGUGGUGUUACUGUGAGAGGCUUGUGAAACAGGUGUUUUUGGUAUCAGUAGUUAUGAUUUUUCUCAAAUAGGGGAGCAGUACUUCUUUAUCCUAAAGGAUGGAGCCAUGUUCUCAUUCCACCUAUCAUCGUCAUCAUCAUCAACAUCAUCAACAUCAUUUAUUAUUUGAGAUGGAGCCUCCCUGUGUUGCCCAGACGGAAGUGUCGUGGCAUGGUCUCGGCUCA
rnacentral:lncRNA from 1 species